ensembl:lncRNA
GUUUCUACAGGGGUGGGAGGUGAGGAGGUAAACCUAGAGGUUUCUGCAGGGGUGGAAGGUGAGGAGGUAAACCUAGAGGUUUCUGCAGGGGUGGAAGGUGAGGAGGUAAACCUAGAGGUUUCUGCAGGGGUGGAAGGUGAGGAGGUAAACCUAGAGGUUUCUACAGGGGUGGGAGGGGAUAAUAAACCUAGAGGUUUCUGCAGGGGUGGAAGGGGAGGUAAAGAAUAGUGUACACUACUGAUUCAUGUUUUAGUUUGAUUCUUAUUACUGUAAAGAAUAGUGUACACUACUGAUUCAUGUUUUAGUUUGAUUCUUAUUACUGUAAAGAAUAGUGUACACUACUGAUUCAUGUUUUAGUUUGAUUCUUAUUACUGUAAAGAUGAAAUGGGAUUUUUCUCACUCUUGCAUUUCUUCUGUAGAGCUUAAAAACAUUUCCUUUCUGUUUUUGCUAUUUUUUCUAUGACGAUCAGAUUGAGUGAUUGAUUAACCUCCCAACCCAAAGAUCCCGCCAAUUCACAUCGUGUCAGUGAUUUGAUUGGCUCCUCUCUCAAAGCUGCACGUUGUUGACGUCCCCUUCAGCCAGUCAGCAGGAAGGGGGGUUACCCCCUGUAACAGACAUCUCCUCCUCCUCUAGAUGACUCUGUAGUGAAGGAAGGGGGGGUUACCCCCUGUAACAGACAUCUCCUCCUCCUCUAGAUGACUCUGUAGUGAAGGAAGGGGGGGUUACCCCCUGUAACAGACAUCUCCUCCUCCUCUAGAUGACUCUGUAGUGAAGGAAGGGGGUUACCCCC